CCUACGGGAGGCAGCAGUAGGGAAUCUUCCACAAUGGGCGAAAGCCUGAUCGAGCCACGCCGCGUGGGUGAAGAAGGUCCUCGGAUCGUAAAACCCUGUUGUUAGAGAAGUAACUUCGUGAGCGUAUCUGUUCACGUUUCGACGGUAUCUAACCAGAAAGCCCCGGCUAACUACGUGCCAGCAGCCGCGGUAAUACGUAGGGGGCAAGCGUUAUUCGGAUUUAUUGGGCGGAAAGGGAACGCAGGAGGUCUUUUAAGUCUGAUGUGAAAGCCUUCGGCUUAACCGGGGUAGUGCAUUUGAGACUGGGAGACUUGAGUGCAGAAGAGGAGUGUGGAACUCCAUGUGUAGCGGUGAAAUGCGUAGAUAUAUGGAAGAACACCAAUGGCGAAGGCGGCUCUCUGGUCUGUGACUGACGCUGAGGUUCGAAAGCGUGGGUAGCAAACAGGAUUAGAUACCCCUGUAGUC
rnacentral:rRNA from 1 species